UACCAGCACCCCGAGUGGUCGGGACGAUUAUUGGGCCUAAAGCAUCCGUAGCCGGUUCUACAAGUCUUCCGUUAAAUCCACCUGCUUAACAGAUGGGCUGCGGAGGAUACUAUAGAGCUAGGAGGCGGGAGAGGCAAGCGGUACUUAGUGGGUAGGGGUAAAAUCCGUUGAUCCGUUGAAGACCACCAGUGGCGAAGGCGGCUUGCCAGAACGCGCUCGACGGUGAGGGAUGAAAGCUGGGGGAGCAAACCGG
rnacentral:rRNA from 1 species